rnacentral:lncRNA from 1 species
UGCAACUCUGUCUUCAGGCUAUUAAUUUGACCUCUGAACUUUUUUGCAUCCAUGAUUCUGCAAGACCUCUGGUAUCAUCAGGAUUCAGGAGGUGUUGAGAAGGUCAGACUUACCUUACUUGUAUAUCUAAUUCAUUCACGUUAUUCUCUUUUGAGUUUUGACAUUCUAUAUAAAUAGACCACCAUUUGGUGUGUAAAUCGCUAUGCGUUGUGUCAAAGGUAUAGAGAAAUACUGCUUAUAUAAAGGCAUCACUGUUUGGAACUAUUAUAUAAAUGUUUUUACACAUCCUUACUGUAGUGCAGAAUGGGUUGGUGGUUGUGAAUUCAGUUAUUUUGGUGUAUUCUUGGAGGUUAUACGUGAAGUCAGAUUUCUUCACUGUCACUACUGCUAAUGGUUGCUUUUCAGUUAAAUCUGCCAACAACUCCCUUUAUGAUUUCUGAUAUUCUCAUAAUUCUCAAUGGAAGUUGAUUUGGAAUCUUGAUAUUCCUCCCAAGCUGAAAACUUUCCUUUGGACUAUGCUUCAUAAAAAGCUGUUAACUAAUGUUCAAAGGGUCACUAGAAGAUUUACCAAUGAUGCUGCGUCCUAUAUGCCACUCUGCUGAUGAAACUCUUCUGCAUCUUCUAAGGGAUUGUCCUAGAUCUAUGCAGAUUUGGAGAGCUUUCCCUAAGCGCUGGUAUAAUUUCUAACUCUUUUUCCCUGGAUUGGAAUGGUUGGAUAAAUGCUCAGCUGCAUUGCCAUGCUUUUGUUAAAAAUAAUAUCAUGGAUUUCUGUUCCUUCUUCCUUCACCAUCUUCAAUUUGGGAACAGAGAAAGUUGUCAAGAACCGGUAAGCUCUGCUUCUUUCUCCUCUAAAUCAGUGUCAUCAAUGAUCUUUUGAAAUCUUCAUAUCUAUGGCCUUAUAUUGAAUCUUAAUUUAAGCCAUGUGAAAACAUUAUGGGAUCACUUUUGCUACAUACAUGUGUAUGGAAGUCUUUGAAUUUUACCUUUUUUCAGAUUAUUAUAUUUGAUCCCAUGAUUGUUUACUUAUUUUUGAGUCUCUUAACAGUGAAUAUAUUUUGCAAGCAGCUGUUCUUAUGUGUGUGUGUGUGGGUUUGUGGGCUGGACUUAUCAUCGAUUUUUGUAACAGAGUAUAAUACCAAUAACGUGUACAGGGAACUGUAUACUCAUUAUGUGGAACUUGUUCCUCUAUCAAUCGUUUAAAUUUUGAAUUAUUCUACUGUAUACUCAGUAUGCGGAACUUGUUCUUCUUUCAAUCGUUUAAAUUUUCAGUUAUUCUGAUUUGGGUAAUGCAGAAACCGGAGUCUGUAAUAGUGAAAGAGAGAAGCAUUUCGGUGAUUCUUUUGGCCGGUGGGAAGGUACAAGGAUGGGAGUCCUCUUUUGUCACCAUUUUGAUACAUCAACUAGUUUUUUUGGAGUGUGACGAGGCCUUUUUGUUAUGUUGGUGCAACUAGGUCAGUAUGCUGAAACAGUAUCUCCCGCUUUUAAGCUAGCCAAUUGCAUUGUGCUGGUAGCUUAUUCAACCAAUGCUUUUAUAUGAUUUUACAUUGCGUCGAUUGAGCUGAUGAACUCACUGAAAUGUUGAUUCCGUAUGUUUCUUUAGAACCUAAUGACAGGGAUUCCUUUAGUGUAGUUUCCGGCCCUUAAGGUUGUUUAUGUUUGUCAUCUUUCCUAUUUUUUCUGUUAUUCUUCUGAAUGAGUAUUUUGCCAACCCGGUGUACCUUCUAUACUUUCUCCCGCAUGCCUCAAGUGAAGGAAAUCAUUGUAGUUUGUGAUCCGUCCUACAGGGAUGUUAUUGAAGGAUCCAUUCCUCUCUUUCUAUCAUGCAUUUGCCUCUUUGACGUGUAUGUCUGUUGGGUGCAGUGCUGUAGGACACAUGUAUUCUGAUUUGGUUUCAGUUGUGUUCUCAGAUGCCAAGCAUAAGAUCCAGACGGAACUCAAAUUCACCCUACCUGGGAAGGAAAGACAAGAUUCUGUCUACUGUGGACUCCAGGUGCGCGCACAUCAUUGUUUUGUGUCGUGAAAAGUCUCUCAGUUGUAGCUUACAAUUCAACCUACCUACUUAACACGUGACUCUGAAGGAGUCUUCAUUCUACUUUAUCCCAAUGUUGGUUGGCACUAGCUUUCACAAUAUUUGAAACUAAGAAGGCCGUCUGGUUAUUUUGUUGGAUAUGCUCCUUUUUAAUGAAAACAACAUUUCUUAUUUGUAAAAAUCACUCAUGUGCAUUGGGGUGUCAUCUAUGCUGCCUCUGUAAUGAUGGAGAACAGAAAGAAAGCACACUCCCCUCUACAACACAUUUCACUCUUCUUCUCUAGAACAUUAAAGGGAAUUGGUGGCGCGAGUGUGAAAAAUAUUGAAAAAAGUGUGAAGCGCUCACCCUCCUUUUGUCUUACUUUAAUGGCUAAGCAUCAUCAUAUGCAUGUUUCCAGAUGAAAUAAUGCCUGCUUAAUAGCUGAUUAUGAAUUUAACUUUUCUCCUCCUUUGCUAAAUUCGUUGUAGCAUACAAGUCAACUGAAGUUUUUUGUUUUUUGUUUUUUUUUUGGAUAAAAAAAAUUAGUAUUUUCAAUAGAUGAUCUUCACCUGAACUGUAUUUUUGGAAAAUGAGGAUGUGUAAGUAUUGAUAACUUAUCACCAGAUGUAACUCUGUCUUCAGGCUAUUAAUUUGACCUCUGAGCUUUUUUGCAUUCAUGAUUCUGCAAGACCUCUGGUAUCAUCAGGAUUCAGGAUGUGUUGAGAAGGUCAGACUUACCUUACUUGUAUAUCUAAUUCAUUCACGUUAUUCUGUUUUGAGUUUUGACAUUCUAUAUAAAUAGACCACCAUUUUGUGUGUACGAAUCGUUAUGCAUUGUGUC